rnacentral:rRNA from 1 species
GACGAACGCUGGCGGCGUGCCUAAUACAUGCAAGUUGAGCGCUGAAGGUUGGUACUUGUCCCAACUGGAUGAGCAGCGAACGGGUGAGUAACGCGUGGGGAAUCUGCCUUUGAGCGGGGGACAACAUUUGGAAACGAAUGCUAAUACCGCAUAAAAACUUUAAACACAAGUUUUAAGUUUGAAAGAUGCAAUUGCAUCACUCAAAGAUGAUCCCGCGUUGUAUUAGCUAGUUGGUGAGGUAAAGGCUCACCAAGGCGAUGAUACAUAGCCGACCUGAGAGGGUGAUCGGCCACAUUGGGACUGAGACACGGCCCAAACGCCUACGGGAGGCAGCAGUAGGGAAUCUUCGGCAAUGGACGAAAGUCUGACCGAGCAACGCCGCGUGAGUGAAGAAGGGUUUCGGAUCGUAAAACUCUGUUGGUAGAGAAGAACGUUGGUGAGGGUGGAAAGCUCAUCAAGUGACGGUAACUACCCAGAAAGGGACGGCUAACUACGUG